rnacentral:tRNA from 1 species
GGCUGGGUAGCUCAGUGGUUAGAGCGCGCGACUCAUAACCGCGUGGUCGGCGGUCCGAAUCCGCCCCCAGCCACCG